UUGGCACUAAAUUAAUUAGGUCAAGCGACUUUGUCUUGCAUAGAACUUAUGGGGUUUGACAGCUUCAUGAGAACGUAGAUUCCUCGCAUCGAACUUCUUGGUUAGGUAUACUGUUUAGUCAUUAAUUAAUACCAAAGAAAGGAAGAAAAUAAAAACAGUUGAAAUAAGCUUGCGCGCACACACACGUGUAUAUAUAUAUGGUGCAUGGGUGAAAAGGUUUGCAUUGCCUCUUUUGAAAGAUCGAUGGGUUUCGGUUUAGUCUUCCGUCCUCUUAUGAUUUUAAUCAUUUUGAUCUUCUCCAUCUUCACUUGGCAGCCAACUCAGGUUCAAGCUGCAGAUAUCACGCCAAGAAAACUAGCCGUCCGGCAGCUGAACCCACCUCCUGCCCCAGCUGAAAACAGGUUGAGACGUAGGGAUCCGGCCCCACCAAGUAAUUGGGAUGCACCGCCACCAGCUGAACCACCUCUCAUACCUUGAAGCUAGCUGAGUCCAAGCUCAUAAUCAGUAUUAAGUUUAAAUGUUAAUUAGAACGGAGUAGUUAAGAGAAUAAAGGAUGGAAACAAUAAAUGUAGCAUCCUUCUUGCUAAAUAGUGAGAAUUGUGGCCGGGGACUCAAAAAAUGUCUCACUCUAUAUGUAUGUACUGUAUGUCAUGUGUGCGUUUUUGCUUUCCGAAAAGGUUGUAAUUUCCUAAAGUUUGUACGUAGUAUAAUGUGUUCGACUGGAAUAGAAAGAGCUCAGCGUUGUUUGAUCUA